rnacentral:rRNA from 1 species
UACAGAGGGCUCAAGCGUUGUUCGGAUUCAUUGGGCGUAAAGGGUGCGUAGGCGGCGCGGUAAGUCGGGUGUGAAAUCUCGGGGCUUAACUCCGAAACUGCAUUCGAUACUGCCGUGCUUGAGGACUGGAGAGGAGACUGGAAUUUACGGUGUAGCGGUGAAAUGCGUAGAUAUCGUAAGGAAGACCAGUGGCGAAGGCGGGUCUCUGGACAGUUCCUGACGCUGAGGCACGAAGGCGAGGGGAGCAAACGGG